rfam:Brachypodium distachyon strain Bd21 chromosome 3, whole genome shotgun sequence.
UUAGUACUUCCUUCGUCCAACAAAAGAUGUCUCAACUUUGACCAAAUUUAAAUGAAUCUAUACACCAAGUCAUGUCUAGAUACAUCCAAAUUUUGACAAACUUGAUACAUCUUUUGUUGAACGGAGGGAGUACAAC